rnacentral:misc_RNA from 1 species
GACGAGAGGCCCGAGCGUUAAUCGGAAUCACUGGGCUUAAAGGGUGCGUAGGCUGAUAUGUAGGUGUGUUGUGAAAUCCCUCGGCUCAACCGAGGAACUGCGAUGCAAACCACAUAUCUUGAGUCAGGUAGAGGUUGUCGGAACGUUCGGUGGAGCGGUGAAAUGCGUAGAGAUCGAACGGAACGCCUAAGGGGAAGCCAGGCAACUGGACCUGCACUGACGCUGAGGCACGAAAGCGUGGGGAGCAAACAGG